ACUUCAGAUACAGUAUUAGGGGACCACUAAGGCCUAUAUAAAAGCAUCCAAAAAGCAGCAUGUUAUAGGACCUUUAAGGUACAAUAAGCUCAAAAAAGACUGC